UUGAUAGGUUUGCUUGUUCACUCAGAAGAGAAUUCUCGGCGGAGACAGUUGGGUUUGGGGGUCCCCCGGCGGCACGCCUGGCCUCCGGCGCCGCGCGACGACCGCCCCCCCCGCGGAGGGGGAGGGGAGGCCGCGCGGCGCCGGGACGGUCCGCCGAAGCAACGUUCAGGUAUGUUCACAGGGGGUUUGGGAGUUGAAAACUCGGUAAUGAUCCCUCCGCUGGUUCACCAACGGAGA
rnacentral:misc_RNA from 1 species